UAGUCCACGCCGUAAACGAUGGAUACUAGCUGUUCGAUCUUCGGAUUGAGUGGCUAAGCGAAAGUGAUAAGUAUCCCACCUGGGGAGUACGUUCGCAAGAAUGAAACUCAAAGGAAUUGACGGGGGCCCGCACAAGCGGUGGAGCAUGUGGUUUAAUUCGAUGAUACGCGAGGAACCUUACCAGGGCUUAAAUGUAGCUGGACAGAUUUAGAAAUAGAUCCUCCUUCGGGCUAGUUACAAGGUGCUGCAUGGUUGUCGUCAGCUCGUGCCGUGAGGUGUCAGGUUAAGUCCUAUAACGAGCGCAACUCCUAUCGUAUGUUACCAGCAUUUAGUUGGGGACUCAUGCGAGACUGCCGGUGUUAAGCCGGAGGAAGUGGGGACGACGUCAAGUCAUCAUGGCCCUUACGUGUAGGGCUAGAAACGUGCUACAAUGGGAGUUACAGUGGGCAGCAACGUCGCGAGGCGAAGCUAAUCCCUAAAAGCUCUCUCAGUUCGGAUAGGACU
rnacentral:rRNA from 1 species